AACUUCAGGUAAUCGCGGCUGGUUACCAGCUGAGGAAAGUCCAUGCUCGCACAGGCUGAGAUGCCUGUAGUGUUCGUGCUUAGCGAAACAAUAAGCUAAGGUAAUAGCAAUAUUAACGGCGAAGAAACGGCCUACGGUUGAACUAUGGCCAAGUACUUCUUAAAGUGCCACAGAGACGAUACUUUGAGGAAACUCAAAGUGUGGAACGUUGGUAAACCCCUCGAGCGAGCAACCCAAACUUUGGUCGGGGCACCUUUCCUAUGGAAUUCAACAGAUGGAAGAGGACACAUAGUGUAGAUAGAUGGUUACCCAUGCGGAUAUUUGACCUAUAAGUAACCGCAUGACAGAACAUGGCUUAUCGAA
rnacentral:RNase_P_RNA from 1 species